ACGUAGGUGGCAAGCGUUGUUUGGAAUUAUUGGGCGUAAAGGGCGCGUAGGCGGUUUGUUAAGUCGGUUGUGAAAGCCCGGGGCUCAACCCCGGAGGGUCGACCGAUACUGGCAGGCUAGAGUACAGAAGAGGUAGCUGGAAUUCCCGGUGUAGCGGUGAAAUGCGUAGAUAUCGGGAGGAACAUCCGUGGCGAAGGCGGCUACCUGGACCAGCACUGACACUGAGGCACGAAAGCGUGGGGAGCAAACAGGA
rnacentral:rRNA from 1 species